GCCAACCCCCGCUUAAGAUAUAGUCGGGCCCUCUGGGAGACCAGAGGUGUUCAGUCGCCGGGUUUGGCGGCCAGCGCCCCAAGCCCGGCACGGGAGUACAACACCGUUCCGUAGGUGAACCUGCGGAAGGAUCAUU
rnacentral:rRNA from 1 species